GACGAACGCUGGCGGCGUGCUUAACACAUGCAAGUCGAACGGAAAGGCCCUGCUUUUGUGGGGUGCUCGAGUGGCGAACGGGUGAGUAACACGUGAGUAACCUGCCCUUGACUUUGGGAUAACUUCAGGAAACUGGGGCUAAUACCGGAUAGGAGCUCCUGCUGCAUGGUGGGGGUUGGAAAGUUUCGGCGGUUGGGGAUGGACUCGCGGCUUAUCAGCUUGUUGGUGGGGUAGUGGCUUACCAAGGCUUUGACGGGUAGCCGGCCUGAGAGGGUGACUGGCCACAUUGGGACUGAGAUACGGCCCAGACUCCUACGGGAGGCAGCAGUGGGGAAUAUUGCACAAUGGGCGGAAGCCUGAUGCAGCAACGCCGCGUGCGGGAUGACAGCCUUCGGGUUGUAAACCGCUUUCGCCUGUGACGAAGCGUGAGUGACGGUAAUGGGUAAAGAAGCACCGGCUAACUACGUG
rnacentral:rRNA from 1 species